GACGAACGCUGGCGGCGUGCUUAACACAUGCAAGUCGAACGGAAAGGCCCUGCUUUUGUGGGGUGCUCGAGUGGCGAACGGGUGAGUAACACGUGAGUAACCUGCCCUUGACUUUGGGAUAACUUCAGGAAACUGGGGCUAAUACCGGAUAGGAGCUCCUGCUGCAUGGUGGGGGUUGGAAAGUUUCGGCGGUUGGGGAUGGACUCGCGGCUUAUCAGCUUGUUGGUGGGGUAGUGGCUU
rnacentral:rRNA from 1 species